UGCUGUGCCUGUUUUUCCUUUGCAGUUACUCAGAGUCCACCAAGCUCUACUCAAAUUGCUAAUUAGCAGGAGCUGAAUGCUUCUAUUUAAAGGAGAAAAUCAGUUCCAGAACAAGAUGGAGGUAAGACCUCUGUGAGACAAGUUGUGAAGUCUGAAUGUUCCAAGAUUUCCCCGAGUGAAUGGAAGGGAAGAUGUUUCUCAGCACUGCAAUAACCUCCUGCUGUGCUACUGUUGAUGUCCAACAAAAAAAGGAGGUUCCAGGAAUACUUGUAAUACAACAGAGAGCAAUAAAUGACAGUUAAAAAAACUUUUGUGCUAUUUGAAGUGUUUGUUACCACAAUAAAAUUUAUUUAAAGUCUUGUCUCA